rnacentral:misc_RNA from 1 species
AACGCACCUUGCGCUCCUUGGUAUUCCUUGGAGCAUGCCUGUUUGAGUAUCAUGAGCAAAUCUCAAAGUCGAACCUUUUUGUUAAUUCAAUUGGUGUUUGCUUUGGACUUGGAGGUCUUGCAGAUUUCACCGUCUGCUCCUCUUAAAUGCAGUAGCUGGAUCUCAGUAUUAUGCUUGGUUCCACUCGGCGUGAUAAGUAUCACUCGCUGAGGACACUGGUAAAAAGGUGGCCAGGAAAAUACUGAUUGAACCGCUUCUAACGGUCUAUUAACUUAGACAAUUACCCCCCCUUAAGUUUGAUCUCAAAUCAGGUAGGACUACCCGCUGAACUUAA